rnacentral:lncRNA from 1 species
CGCGGGGGCGCCCCCCUCGGCCGGGCGCUCGGGUUUCAGCCGCCGCUCCUCCGCGCCCCGCCCGCGCCUGGCCCGCUCGCCGGCGCCGGGAGAGACCUCGUAACGGAACUGGGACGCCAGCGCUGCAUUGUGGGAGCUUUUAAAGCGGCGGGGAGCUCGGCGCGACCCUCGGGCCCACCGGGCCACGCUCGCCCGGCCCGCGACGCCCCCCCGCUGUCGCCUGGCCCGCGACGCACCGAGGCCUGAGGACCCGAAAGCCGGGCGCGGGGAGAUGACCGGUGGCUCGUGACGGUCCCACGGGCAAAAUCUUCCAUCGCCCGGGGCUGAGACUUGUCAAACUGCCCUCUACGGUCACCCGGAAAGUAGGAGGCUUUUUCUGCAGAGGGGAAAAAAAUCAAAAAGAGCCGUUCCAUCCCCCCUCCAAGGACUGGGUUUGAAUUGCUUUUCAUCUGCAGUGGCUGUGAUUCAGCGUCCCUCUUAGCAGCAGGCAAUGACAGAGGCAGGAGAGGGGAAAAAAAAAAAGAAAGAAAGAAAAAACACAGCAAAUGAAUCAAACGGACGUAGCAGGCAAGAGUGUGGUUAUCGUUGGACCAGGAUUCAGGAUCUGACUGAGUAGCUGACUCUUAAUCCAGUUUGUGUUGAUCACCAGGAGGAUCUGGACCUCAGUAUUACCACAUCUAGAGCUAUAAUCACAUCCCUGUUAAGCCUUCCUGAGAUCACACCAAAUGUCCUUGAUGGGAAUUGUAAACAACCCUUACUUCUGGUUUCUAAUGAUAUUCCAGGAAAGGAGCCUAACUAGAGUCAGUGAUAUGCCAACUCCACCUUUGCCUUCCACCAUGUUUGGAAGCUCCCUGAGGCCUCACCAGGAGCAGAUGCUCGUCCCAUGCUUCCUAUAAGCCUGCAGAACUGGAAAAGAAAGCUGGAUAAAGUAUUUAUAGAAGAUAGAGGACCUGUGGUGGCUCAUGCCUGUAAUCCAAGGUGGAAGGAUUGCUUGAGGCCAGAAGUUCAAGACCAGUCCAAGCAACAUAGCAAGGCCCCAUCUCUACAAAAAAUGAAAAUAAAAUUAGCCGAGCGUGAUGGCUCAUGCCUGUAGUUCUAGCUUCUAGAGAGGCUGAGGCAGGAGGAUUGCUUGAGUCCAGGAGUUCAAGAUUACAGUGAGCUAUGGUCACACCACUGCACUCCAGCCUGGGUGAUGGAGUGAGACUGUCUCAAUAAAAAGACAAAAAGGCUGGCCAGGGGCAGUGGUUCAUGCCUGUAAACCCAGCACUUUGGGAGGCAAAGGCAGGAGGAUUGCUUAAGCCCAGGAAUUUGAGAUCAGCCUGGACAACAUGGUCAAGGAAGCUUUUCCUGAUCCACUAACUAAGGACAAUCAAACCCUUCAUGAUCUAGAAUCUGGAGACUGUGUCUUCUGGGAAUAGUAUCAGAGAAAGACUGCCCUUACUGCCCACAUGUAGCAAAACUUUGAGACGUUGAAUUAUGGGUCCAUAAUCUCACAACUCAGAGGGGCACCUCUAGACUCUUGGAACUGUAUAUCUAUUGGAGACUUUAAGGUAAAGCUGAACAGAGAGACGUUUUUCUCCAGAAGCAGACAGCACCAUAGUCAUGGACAGCUUUCCCAAGAUCACAGAUCAAGACUUCUCUGCCGUCAUGAGACUCAUAACCUCUUAAUUUUUUCUUGCUUAUGCUUCUGUGAACAAUAGAAUUGGAAAAGGGGUGGUCCCGCGUGCACCCAUAGGGUAUACUUUUAUUUGUGGAGGAUUUUGCUGCCAACCUUAUACAUGGGCAAACUUAUGCCUUCAUGGAUGGAAGAUAAAGGGCUAAUAUGGGUUAGAAAUUUUAAUGGUACCUUUGUUUCUCCAUAAUCAUUCAGAAACAGAACACUGGUCCACUCUUGUUAACCUACAUCAUAGGUUGAAGAGAACAUUGCCAGGAGGCCUUCAUCCUUCCAGAUGGGCACCAUUUGUUGGGUCUUUUUCCGUGGUAUGAAGAAAAUGAAGCAAUGAUUAGAAAUUGGUCCCUCGGCCGGGCACAAUGGCUCAUGCCUGUAAUCCCAUCACUUUGGCAGGCCGAGGCGGGUGGAUCACCUGAGGUCAGGAGUUUGAGACCAGCCUGACCAAUGUGGUGAAACGCCAUCUCUACUAAAAAUACAAAAAUUAGCUGGGUGUGAUGGUGCACACCUGUAAUCCAGCUACUCGGGAGGCUGAGACAGGAGAAUUGCUUGAACCUGGGAGGCAGAGGUUGCAGUGAGCCAAGAUCACCCCACUGCAUUCCAGGUUGGGCAACAGAGCAAGACUCUGUCUCAAAAAAAAAAGAAGAAAGAAAGAAAUUGAUCCCUCAUAAUAGGCUGUAUAGCAGAUUCUACUGCAAAGGCUAUGGUUGCACAACAGACUUCUUUGAAUUUGCUUGCUAAACUUUUACUGGAUAAUACUGGGAUUACAGGUGUGAGCCACUGUGCCCAGCCUCUCCUGUUUAACUGUAUUCAUUCUAAUGUUUACUUACUUCUUUAAUUUGUAAAAUUGGGUCACUUAGAGUUUUUUUAGCCUAUCUUGCCAUUUAGCCACUGUUACUGAUAAUUUGGAUGGAAAAGAAAAAUAAAUUAUAUCACCUCUC